rnacentral:rRNA from 1 species
CCUACGGGGUGCAGCAGUGAGGAAUAUUUGUCAAUGGGCGCGAGCCUGAACCAGCCAAGUAGCGUGAAGGAUGACUGCCCUACGGGUUGUAAACUUCUUUUAUAAAGGAAUAAAGUGAGGCACGUGUGCCUUUUUGUAUGUACUUUAUGAAUAAGGAUCGGCUAACUCCGUGCCAUCAGCCGCGGUAAUACGGAGGAUCCGAGCGUUAUCCGGAUUUAUUGGGUUUAAAGGGAGCGUAGAUGGGUUGUUAAGUUAGUUGUGAAAGUUUGCGGCUCAACCGUAAAAUUGCAAUUGAUACUGGCAGUCUUGAGUACAGUUGAGGUAGGCGGAAUUCGUGGUGUAGCGGUGAAAUGCUUAGAUAUCACGAAGAACUCCGAUUGCGAAGGCAGCUUACUAAACUGCCACUGACAUUGAUGCUCGAAAGUGUGGGUAUCAAACAGGAUUAGAUACCCUAGUAGUC